rnacentral:rRNA from 1 species
GAUGAACGUUGGCGGCGUGCCUAAUACAUGCAAGUCGAACGAAGACUGUAGUAAUACUGUCUUAGUGGCGAACGGGUGAGUAACGCGUGGGUGACCUGCCCCGAAGUGUGGGAUAACAGUUCGAAAGAACUGCUAAUACCGCAUAACAUCCAAGAGAUUAGAAGCUUUUGGAUUAAAGGAGUAAUUCGCUUCGGGAGGGGCCCGCGUCCCAUCAGCUAGUUGGUAAGGUAAUGGCUUACCAAGGCGAUGACGGGUAGGGGACCUGAGAGGGUGGCCCCCCACAAUGGAACUGAAACACGGUCCAUACACCUACGGGUGGCAGCAGUAGGGAAUAUUAGUAAUGGGCGAAAGCCUGAACUAGCAACGCCGCGUGUGCGAAGAAGGCCUUCGGGUUGUAAAGCACUUUUGUAGAGGAUGAGGAAGGACGGUACGUCUCAGAAUAAGUCUCGGCUAACUACGUG